rnacentral:rRNA from 2 species
AAAACAUGUCUGUAUGGUUGUUAUAUAGAGUCUAGCCUGCCCACUGAUGAAAGUUAAAGGGCCGCGGUAUUUUGACCGUGCGAAGGUAGCAUAAUCAUUAGUCUUUUAAUUGGAGGCUUGUAUGAAUGGUUGGACAAAAAAUAAGCUGUCUCUGUUUUAUUUCUUGAAUUUAACUUUUAAGUGAAAAGGCUUAAAUGUUCUAGGGGGACGAUAAGACCCUAUAAAGCUUUACAGCAUAUUAAUUAAAUUUUAAAUUGUUAGUAUUAACUUAAUUUAUUUAAUAACUGUUUCGUUGGGGCGACGAAAAUAUAAUAAAUAGUAACUGUUUUUCUUUAUAAGAUAACAAUAAGUUUUUGGAAGUAAUUGAUCCUUUCUUAAAGAUUAAAAGAUUAAGUUACUUUAGGGAUAACAGCGUAAUCUUCUUUGAGAGUUCAUAUCGACAAGAAGGGUUGCGACCUCGAUGUUGAAUUAAGGUUUCCUUGAGGUGUAGCAGUUUCAUGGGAGGGUCUGUUCGACCUUUAAAUCCUUACAUGAUCUGAGCU